UGGCAGAGAGAACAUCCUUGCUGAGACAUCCCCCAGUGGACAAAACAAGGGAGAGCUGAAAGAGUAGAGAAAGGGGAGCUGAACCAAAGAUCUUUGCUGAGAAGUCCCUCAGUGGACAGAGGAAGAGAGAGCUGAAAAAAGCAGUGGAAAGACAAGAUACUGCAAACGUUGUUGGGA